UUGGCUUUUCUUUGUUAAGCAAGGAGCAAGAUGGGAAAGGAGUUUUUGUCCAUUUCUGGGUGUUACAGCAAGGAGACAACUGUGUGCCCCUGGAGGCUGAAGUAAAGACAAAAGAGAACCAAGAAGGAGGUGUAAAUACCGAGAAGAGAGAAAUCACUAAUACAGCCACAUGAGAUCACGUGUUGAGAUGGAGGCUCUAUCAACCUGUAACAUGAAUGACUAUGAUAAGCAGAGUCCCCAUGCUAACCUGCAAGGCAUGGGCAAGAUGUGCUGCAUGCCUGUGAAUUAUACCCCAAGUGUGACAGACGAUGACUAUUUGGAGGAUGCCAAGUAGCAGUUGCCCUAGCAACAAUAACCAGGGGAUGCUUCUCAGAACUUCUACCUCCUCUCUUCCCCAUCAUUUUCCCUGUUUUGAGAGUUAGAUAACAUGGUUACCAGAAUUAGUCGAAGAGGGUUCCCACCCCCACCCCCCACCUAGCAUAAUGAAAGAGAGAAAACUUAGAAAUGUCUGCCUUUUUCUUACUAUCAGGGGCAAUUCAGCAUAUCUCUGCAGUCAAGACGGAAAGGAGGGCGACUCUUAGAGGGAAAGAGCUGUGCGCUCUCAUCCUAAUAAAUGCUUGGUGGUGGGAGAAUUAAUUGUCAGAACUGCUACUGCGAACCACUUGUGAGGAAUGAAAAAAAUCCUUGUUGAAUUUCCACACGUGGGCUAAAAGAACAGUAUGUAAAUUGGAUUGCAAGAUGCUAUGUGCUGUGAGUGGAAAUUUCUGGUCUCUUCUGAAUCUGAUAUGGCAGAUUUAAUGUUACUUUCUUAAAAAAAAUGAAAGUGUAAUCUAGACAGGGAGAUGGAAAUUUUCUUUAAUUACCUAUGACUUUAUUGAUAUGUACAUCCCCUCCCCCAAAUAAAUAUUCAGAUUAAAGCAGAGAACGAAGUUUAAGGGAAAUUCUAUGUGCUAAGAGCAGAGUGGAUUUCUGUGAAGCAAAAGAAGCCUAAGCUUGAGGGUCUCACACCUACAAGGGCCCCUUCCAAGGCCCUGAAUCUAAAUUUGCAUUUGUAAAUAUAUUACUAUUAUUCUUAAAAAGCCGCUCUGAUUAUAUACACUUUGAGCUCCACAGAUUCUGGAUCCACCCCUCAAGAAAGGGGUGAAAUAUAAGAGAUUUAUUUGAUCAUAUAUUAUUGCUAUUGUAUCACUUUUUUAUGACAUUCAGAUUUCUUACCUUGUAGUUCUAUUUUGAAUAUUCGUGUCUGUUUUUACUAUUUUUCCUCUUGCUUUGGGGGAUAUUAUUGAUUUUCCAUUAAUCUUAA